rnacentral:rRNA from 1 species
GAUGAACGCUAGCGGCAGGCUUAAUACAUGCAAGUCGAGGGGUAGCAAGAUUGUAGCAAUACAAUUGUUGACGACCGGCAAACGGGUGCGGAACACGUACACAACCUUCCUACAAGUGGAGAAUAGCACAGAGAAAUGUGGAUUAAUACCCCGUAACAUAGCGAUGUAGCAUCACAUUGCUAUGAUAGCUUCGGCCCUGGUUGAUUGGUGUGCGGCUGAUUAGAUAGUUGGCGGGGUAGCGGCCCACCAAGUCGACGAUCAGUAGCUGAUGUGAGAGCAAGAUCAGCCACACGGGCACUGAGACACGGGCCCGACUCCUACGGGAGGCAGCAGUAAGGAAUAUUGGACAAUGGACGCAAGUCUGAUCCAGCCAUGCCGCGUGAAGGAUUAAGGUCCUCUGGAUUGUAAACUUCUUUUAUAAGGGACGAAAAAAGGUCUUUCUAGAUCGUCUGACGGUACCUUAUGAAUAAGCACCGGCUAACUCCGUGCCAGCAGCCGCGGUAACAC